rnacentral:lncRNA from 1 species
CCUUCUGCUCCUUGGAUCUCAAUUGGGAUAGGCAUGAGUAUUGGGCCAAAGAAUAGUCCUUUGUAACUAUGACUUGUAAAUAACAUCUUUUACAAGAAAAAAGUAUCUAUUAAAAAAAAUAGAAGCCAUUUCCUAUAAGGUUGGUUGUUUGGUAAUUAAGGUCAGGAAAGGCUGAUGUGUAUGAGCCGUUGGAUUUUAGAGAUAUUUGAGAUGUUUUUGUGACCGUCCAUGUGUGUAAUGAUGAUAUUAAGUGCACAAAAUUAUCAAUGUGCCAAUGAAUAGGAAAUUUAAAUUGGUUAUUUAUAUGGAUUAUAUAUAUAUAUCAACUUUUUAUAAAUAGUUUUUAAAUUGAUAAAUUAUACAUGAAAAAGAUAUUAUCAAUAAAAUUAUAAACUUAUUUGGAAUAUUUGAAGGUAAAAAUUAUAUGUUAUUUUAUUAAUUUACCACAAAAUGUACAUAGUUAAGAAAUAGAAUUAUGGCAUUAGCUUAAUUUAUUUUUUUUAAUGAAAUUUAAUUGCUUCAAAAAAAAAAUUACAUAGAUCGCUAUUUACAAAAAUGUGAAAAAAUAAUUUUCUUUUUUCCCUAGUAUGAUUCUUUCUAAUGCGGAAUUCAUUUCUGAUCAAAUGAAUUUGGGAAAAAAGAAAAUACAAAUACAUCAAAUAUUUCAUUACCUUCCAAUAUUUACUCUUUUAUCUUCAAAUCAUCAAAUAAAACUCGGAGAUGAUGAUUAUUAUGCAGCAACGGAUUUUCCGACAUAAUACGCAAGAAAAUGUAACACGACGCCAUGUCGGUAUUUAACUUGUGAUUAAGAACGUCAGGAUGGAGAUCGAUGUCAAGAAAGAGAGUUGAAGUUCAAGAAAAGAUUUGAUUUAAG